ensembl:lncRNA
UAAACAAAUGAAUGAAUGAAUGUUCCUACCACACAUACACACUAGGAUCCAGCAGGUAGCGUCUCCUCAGUCUCCAGAGUCGCAGGAACGGUCCUGAGCUUGGUUCUGAGUGGAGGGUCUGUGUGGAGGUUCUGUGUGGAGGUUCUGAGUAGAGGGUCUGUGUGGAGGUUCUGUGUGGAGGUUCUGUGUGGAGGUUCUGUGUGGAGGGUCUGUGUGGAGGUUCUGUGUGGAGGUUCUGUGUGGAGGGUCUGUGUGGAGGGUCUGAGUGGAGGUUCUGAGUGGAGGUUCUGAGUGGGUUUCCUCUGUCUUCUGUCAUUUUCUGGUCACCUCCUGAAGCAUGAAGAUAAAUUUCCCCUACUUAUGAGCGAAUGUGUGUAAAACUUAAGUAUAAAUUGAUCUUAAAUAAAGUUUUGUCUCACCAUCACUGCAGUCGUCUGUUUUAUAAUCCAUCAUUUCACAUCAUUACUGAAACUUCCUCAAACAUUUACUGAGAUUUUACUCACAAACACAGAUUUAUAUUUAAAACCUCAAUGUCCGAGUUUAACAGUAAAUCCAGACUGAGCCAUAUUAAACAUUAACCUGAGGACCAGCAGCAGAUUUACACAGAUUAUACAGAUUUAUACAGAUUUAUACAGAUUUAUACAGAUUUACACAGAUUUAUACAGAUUUAUACAGAUUUAUACAG